GAUGAACGCUGGCGGCGUGCCUAAUACAUGCAAGUCGAGCGAACGGACGAGAAGCUUGCUUCUCUGAUGUUAGCGGCGGACGGGUGAGUAACACGUGGUUAACCUACCUAUAAGACUGGGAUAACUUCGGGAAACCGUAGCUAAUACCGGAUAAUAUUUUGAACCGCAUGGUUCAAAAGUGAAAGACGGUCUUGCUGUCACUUAUAGAUGGAUCCGCGCUGCAUUAUCUAGUUGGUAAGGUAACGGCUUACCAAGGCAACGAUGCAUAGCCGACCUGAGAGGGUGAUCGGCCACACUGGAACUGAGACACGGUCCAGACUCCUACGGGAGGCAGCAGUAGGGAAUCUUCCGCAAUGGGCGAAAGCCUGGCGGAGCAACGCCGCGUGAGUGAUGAAGGUCUUCGGAUCGUAAAACUCUGUUAUUAGGGAAGAACAUAUGUGUAAGUAACUGUGCACAUCUUGACGGUACCUAAUCAGAAAGCCACGGCUAACUACGUG
rnacentral:rRNA from 1 species